AGUCGCGUGGUCUAGUUGGUUAAGACGCUCCGCUCACAUGUUAUCCGGAUUGGUUCCGGAGAGGUCCCCGGUUCGAGCCCGGGCGCGACUA